rnacentral:rRNA from 1 species
GUCGAACGAUGAAGCCCAGCUUGCUGGGGUGGAUUAGUGGCGAACGGGUGAGUAACACGUGAGUAACCUGCCCUUAACUCUGGGAUAAGCCUGGGAAACUGGGUCUAAUACCGGAUAGGAGCGUCCACCGCAUGGUGGGUGUUGGAAAGAUUUAUCGGUUUUGGAUGGACUCGCGGCCUAUCAGCUUGUUGGUGAGGUAAUGGCUCACCAAGGCGACGACGGGUAGCCGGCCUGAGAGGGUGACCGGCCACACUGGGACUGAGACACGGCCCAGACUCCUACGGGAGGCAGCAGUGGGGAAUAUUGCACAAUGGGCGAAAGCCUGAUGCAGCGACGCCGCGUGAGGGAUGACGGCCUUCGGGUUGUAAACCUCUUUCAGUAGGGAAGAAGCGAAAGUGACGGUACCUGCAGAAGAAGCACCGGCUAACUACGUGCCAGCAGCCGCGGUAAUACGUAGGGUGCGAGCGUUAUCCGGAAUUAUUGGGCGUAAAGAGCUCGUAGGCGGUUUGUCGCGUCUGUCGUGAAAGUCCGGGGCUUAACCCCGGAUCUGCGGUGGGUACGGGCAGACUAGAGUGCAGUAGGGGAGACUGGAAUUCCUGGUGUAGCGGU